UCUGUGUAUUGACAUACUAAGAGCGAGAUCCGUGGUAGUAUACAACCGAUGUACUGUGUAAAUUAAAUGGAAAGUAUUUUUGUAUGGAAAAAAAAGGUAUCCUUUACAUUCCUUUGACAAUGGGUGGGACAGUGUAGUGUAAACGUUACGCAAACCACAUGACGGCUGGCUGAGCAUGGGCAGUUCAGUUCCAGCCACAUCUCUCAUGGCUUCCCCCCUCUCUUCUGAACACCUGCAGACAUGUCCCCAGAACAUGCCUCUAAAAACAACGCUAUGGUUUCUCCUUGAAGCCUUUUGGGGGUGUGCUGUUUUCAAAAGCAUUCCACAUGGACAUAGUUGAUAGGUCAUGUGUUGAGAGACUUCACUUUGGACAUAGUUGAUAGGUCAUGUGUUGAGAGACUUCACUUUGCAAGUCGAUAGCCAGCGGUAUUGCAAAAUAUCUGUUGGUCAUAUGGUUUAUUCGGGUCAGACAAAUUCCUGUAGCCAAUACAAUGCAAUCUAGUGACCAAAUGAACAAAAACACGAUAUAUUUUCCAACGUCAGAUGCUUCAACACUUGAUCAUUAACAAAUUCAUCUCAGUCAUCAAUAUUACUCGUCGUCAAAAACGCAAUUUCAGACUAGCUGACACAUCACAACAAUGCAGAUGAAAAACUGCACUGCUCUGUGCAUGUUCUUGGGGCAGAUAUGUGUCUGAAUCUUAAGGUCAAUUUAAAAGCUUAAAUUGGACAAUUUGGGCAAGAAAGCACUCCCAAAACAAUAUCUGAUCAGGUGAUGACAGAUCAACCAAACUUGAAUAGGACUUGGAGAAAUAAAGAACAAAAUUCUUGGUGACAUUCUUCAUCAAUCUUUGUGCUUUCGAGAGGGCUGAUGUUUGCAUGUUUGUCACCCAACUGUAUUCUCUGAAUCGCCGCGGAGUAGGUCCCCUUCUUACUCUUGCCGCACAAACCUUUCACGGCUCUUCACUUUGGCCUUGUGUCUCUGAUCAGCAGCACUGUGGAUUCAGUUCACUUUUGUAAAAUUGUAUUUUUGCUGUGAGCUAAAACUCUUCGUUUGACACUGGCACCUCCGUGAUCUGCAAAACAUCUCAGGUCUGCCUAUAGCACCUAGUCAGUUUGUGUUCUCUAUACAUCUACAUGCAGACAUAUUUUGAAUUCACUGACCAUAACUGUUUCUUGGUUAAAGAAACACAAGUGAAUGAAAAUACAGUGAGUGUUCGGUUCCCUUUUACAAACCUUCAACGACUGAGAGUGUUUAAAUUGUGUCAAUGACAGAAACCUUUCAUUUGGAUAUCUGUUUCUGUGUUGUAUCACUGAAUUUCAGUUCUCCAGAGUUGCCCUCAUUUCCCCUACUUCAUCAACUGAUUUCAGUCUUCUGUAUAAAGGAACGUUUUUUUGUGGUGUGCAUUUGGUUUUGUGUAAAAAAAAAAAAAAAGCUCCCUGUCUAUCUAUGCUACUUGUGUUUGUCAGUUGUGAUGGCUUUAGCAUUAUAAAUGCAAUGGUACUGAUUCCUCUCUCUCUCUCUCUCUCUCUCUCUCUCUCUCUCUCUCUCUCUCUCUCUUUCUCUUUAUACCUCUCUUAAAACACCUCUUUGUGAAAUGGUUGUGUGGAGCUGCACUCUUUUGUUCUUUUGUCUUUAUUUUUCACACUCUGUAUUUGCCCCUGAAUCUCCUCUACUGUUGCUUUUGUCUGUUUUCUGGUUUCUAUUUUGAAGGCCUUCGGGCUCCGUGUUCUCCACUCUGCCUCUGCGAUUAGAAGGGGUGAUGUGACCCAGUGUGUUUUCAGACGGGGAUUUUAAUCAAUGCAUCCAGCAGUACCAGGGUAGAGGAAGACUAGGAAAAACAAGACCUACCCGAAUGGCCAUUUCUGUUCAUUUGAAACAGAAGAAAAAAAACAUUGAAGAUAUUGUAAUAUAGAAUGUACAAAAAUGUUUAGAAUAUAUAGUUGUUUAUUUUAUAAGAUGUCAAAUAGAUUGAAAUACAUUUAUAUACAUUAUAUGAUUCAAAGGUUUUAAAAAAAAAAACAGAAGUAUUUUGUAACAGAAUAAUUAUUGAAGUGUCUUACUGGGGGAGGUGAAGUCUUUCUUUUCUUUAAUACAGCAGUGGGUGUUGCACAGUCAAUGAUAUUGUAUGGCUUUUCCUCUGUGUAUAUACCAUCAAAAUAAGCUUUAACAUAUUGUUAAUAUUGUUUUAAAAAGAAAUUAAUAAAAAGUUUACAUUCUGAAACACCAUGGAUAUUAAUUCUGUGAUAGUGAUAUUAAAUUAUUUUUAUUCAAUCUUGAUAAUGUGGUAUAUAAAAAUAAAUAUUUUU